AGCAGCCGCGGUAAUUCCAGCUCCAAUAGCGUAUAUUAAAGUUGUUGCAGUUAAAAAGCUCGUAGUUGAAUUUCGGGAUCAGUUGGUCGGUCGUGCCUCGGUACGUACUGGUCAAAUUGAUUCCUACCUUCUGACGAACCACGAUGUCAUUAAUUUGGUGUCGCGGGAAAUCAGGACUGUUACUUUAGAAAAAAUUAGAGUGUUUAAAGCAGGCUCGCGCUUGAAUACAUUAGCGUGGAAUAAUAG
rnacentral:rRNA from 1 species